rnacentral:lncRNA from 1 species
UAGAUUUUGAAGAAGACCGAUGACAUAGAAAAGUAUUUUCAUUGCAAUGUCGAAGGCCACUAGAAAAGAAACUGUCUAGCCUACCUGACGACUAUUAAGUGCAAAAAGAAAGAUGCACCAUCUGAAGGUAUGUUUAAUAUGCUCGUUAUUGAAACUAAUUUAACGGUUUCUUCUUCUUCUAAUUGAAUUCUAGAUUCUGUUUCAAGUGCUCAUUUGUGCACUUCUAUUUAGGAUCUUGAAAAAAAUGAGAAGGCUGAGGGAAGGCA